rnacentral:rRNA from 1 species
UAGGGAAUCUUCCACAAUGGACGCAAGUCUGAUGGAGCAACGCCGCGUGAGUGAAGAAGGCUUUCGGGUCGUAAAACUCUGUUAUUGAAGAAGAACGUGUGUGACAGUAACUGGUCAUGCAGUGACGGUAUUCAAUCAGAAAGUCACGGCUAACUACGUGCCAGCAGCCGCGGUAAUACGUAGGUGGCAAGCGUUGUCCGGAUUUAUUGGGCGUAAAGCGAGUGCAGGCGGUCUUUUAAGUCUGAUGUGAAAGCCUUCGGCUUAACCGAAGAAGGGCAUCGGAAACUGGGAGACUUGAGUGCAGAAGAGGAGAGU